rnacentral:rRNA from 1 species
UACGGAGGGUGCAAGCGUUGUUCGGAAUCGCUGGGCGUAAAGGGCGCGCAGGCGGCCUGAUUAGUCAGAUGUGAAAGCCCACGGCUUAACUGUGGAAGUGCAUUUGAAACUGUCAGGCUUGAGUACCAGAGGGGAAAGUGGAAUUCCCGGUGUAGAGGUGAAAUUCGUAGAUAUCGGGAGGAAUACCGGUGGCGAAGGCGACUUUCUGGCUGGAUACUGACGCUGAGGCGCGAAAGCGUGGGGAGGCAAACAGGAUUAGAUACCCUGGUA